rnacentral:rRNA from 1 species
CACGUAGGGCGCAAGCGUUGUCCGGAAUUAUUGGGCGUAAAGAGCUCGUAGGUGGUUUGUUACGUCUGCUGUGAAAACCUAGGGCUUAACCCUGGGCUUGCAGUGGAUACGGGCAGACUAGAGGUAGGUAGGGGAGAAUGGAAUUCCUGGUGUAGCGGUGAAAUGCGCAGAUAUCAAGGAGGAACACCGGUGGCGAAGGCGGGUCUCUGGGCCGAAACUGACGCUGAGGAGCGAAAGCGUGGGGAGCAAACAGG